rnacentral:rRNA from 1 species
ACUGCUCAGUAACACGUGGAUAACCUGCCCUCAGGUCUGGCAUAACCCCGGGAAACUGGGGAUAAUUCCGGAUAACGCAUAUAUGCUGGAAUGCUUUAUGCGUCAAAGGUCCUCCGCCUGAGGAUGGGUCUGCGGCCUAUCAGGUAGUAGCGGGUGUAAUGUACCUGCUAGCCGACGACGGGUACGGGUUGUGAGAGCAAGAGCCCGGAGAUGGAUUCUGAGACAUGAAUCCAGGCCCUACGGGGCGCAGCAGGCGCGAAAACUUUACAAUGCGGGAAACCGUGAUAAGGGGACACCGAGUGCCAGCAACAUUUGCUGGCUGUCCAGGUGUGUAAACUACACCUGUUAGCAAGGGCCGGGCAAGACCGGUGCCAGCCGCCGCGGUAACACCGGCGGCCCGAGUGGUGAUCGUUAUUAUUGGGUCUAAAGGGUCCGUAGCCGGUUUAGUCAGUCCUCCGGGAAAUCUGUCAGCUCAACUGAUAGGCUAUCGGGGGAUACUGCUAGACUUGGAACCGGGAGAGGUAAGAGGUACUACAGGGGUAGGAGUGAAAUCUUGUAAUCCCUGUGGGACCACCUGUGGCGAAGGCGUCUUACCAGAACGGGUUCGACGGUGAGGGACGAAAGCUGGGGGCACGAACCGGAUUAGAUACCCGGGUAGUCCCAGCCGUAAACGAUGCUCGCUAGGUGUCAUGCAUGGUGCGACCGUGUAUGGUGCCGUAGGGAAGCCGCGAAGCGAGCCACCUGGGAAGUACGGCCGCAAGGCUGAAACUUAAAGGAAUUGGCGGGGGAG